UUUUUUGCCAAUCCUGCAAGCGUAACAUCGCGUAUUAAUUAAAAAAACGCGACAUUUUAUAAUUUUAUGGGUGUUAGAAGUUGUGACCGCAUGCUUGGACACUCCAGGUAACCACUGAUCUAACACCAACACAGAAAAGUCACUGAUCUAUAAUUCUGAUAAAAUACUAACAUUUUUGCUGUUUGGGUGUAAUAAACUAUUAGUAAAUUCCCACUUGAUUUUUAUCUGGUAGAUGUCAGACCCGGUGAUUGACAAUGGAAAGCAUAACACAUUUUGGGGUCGAGUUAAGCGGGCAUUUUCUAAAAACGAAUAUGGGGAAAUCCGGCCAGAGAUUGCACAUAUUCCUGCGGUUCUUUGGUUGGAAUGAUGGUGGGUGGUCGGUAUGGCACUCGGAUACGGGUUGCUUCAAACAUCGCUUAAGUAACCAACUGACCGUAUAUACAUUGUGUGCACAAGCCGAAAGGGAUCACUUCUCAGCAAUAUUGCUAGGAUUUUUCAAUAUGGUUGCCGUUGGGGUUGGAGAACAGGACUUUACUCUGGCAUAUAUAGUACGACACUCACUGCUGUGUCUAUUGGUCGAGAUAAGGAAGAUGCAUUGAAUUACAUUGCUGCUGGAGCAACCACAGGAACUGUUUAUAAACUAUUCUCAGGUUUUCGAGGGAUUCUUGUAGGCGCUCUCUUCGGUGCUGGCAUUUGUACACCUAUUGGGUUAACCAUGCAAGCACUGGGGCAUUUUAUUCCAUAUGAAAAAGUGUUGAAAGAUGAAAUAGCUGUACAAAAUGCCAAGAAGAAACAGCAGUUGGAAGUGACAGAAAAGAUUUUGUAUAGAAUGGAAAACAAAUACGAAAAUUCUAAAAAUAUUUAAGAUAUUUGUUGUCAAUAAAUAUUUAUAUAUUGAAUGGAUGUGAAAUUAUAUAAAGAAUACUAAUAGGGCAGUGUAUCUAUUGAAUUUGUAGUGGUGUUUGAAGCAGUUUAAUAAACUUGCAGGUUGUGUUUUAUUAGGGCUAACGCCACUCGUGCUGUGCACUUGUACCGACUUUAACCCAUUGAGUCACAUUGCGCCCUGAUGCGACCUACUUUAUAAUUUCACUCUGUCUAACGCCAGACGAUUUUACACGUCAAUGGGAGAGCACUGGCGUUUAAUGGGUUAACUGGCCUAUCUGCCCAUGCAUCUAUUUAACCCCAUUGCGCCCUACUUUAUUAUUUUACUCCUAACACCAGACGAUUUUACUCGUCAAGGGGAAAGCACUGGCACUUAAUGGAUUAAACCUAAUAACACACUCCUGCUCGUUUAUAAACAGUACUUAAACUAUCUGGCGUAGUGCUGACAAUGAACCUGAGUUGCAUCAGUAAUACUUCACACAUUUUGUAGAUAGUUAGAAAUACUUGGUACAAAGUUGACCUAUUUUGCAUUUAGGUACAAGG